ensembl:snRNA U6 U6 spliceosomal RNA
GUGCUCACUUUGGCAGCAUGCAUACUAAAAUUAGAGUGAUACAGAGAAGAUUAGCAUGGCACAAGGAUGGCAUAUAAAUUCUUGAAGCAUUCCAUAUUUAA